rnacentral:rRNA from 1 species
CAGUCGCCGCGGGAAUACGUAGGGUGCAAGCGUUAAUCGGAAUUACUGGGCGUAAAGCGUGCGCAGGCGGUUAUAUAAGAAAGAUGUGAAAUCCCCGGGCUCAACCUGGGAACUGCAUUUGUGACUGUAUAGCUAGAGUACGGCAGAGGGGGAUGGAAUUCCGCGUGUAGCAGUGAAAUGCGUAGAUAUGCGGAGGAACACCGAUGGCGAAGGCAAUCCCCUGGGCCUGUACUGACGCUCAUGCACGAAAGCGUGGGGAGCAAACAGGAUUAGAUACCCGAGUAGUCCCUGUCUCUUAUAC